rnacentral:lncRNA from 10 species
AAAAGAAGGCUGAGGACAUUGUGUGCGUCAAGAAAAUAAGAACCAGAAGUCACUGGGACAGUGAAGACAUUUAACAAAGAAAUCUAACUGGGAAAAAUAUAAUAAAGCUAGUUUUGUGAUAAACAAACAAACAAAAAGGGCAAAAUAUUUGAACAGCCAUUUCACCAAAGAAGAUAUGCAGAUGUCUAUAAGGAAAUGAACAAGCUGCUGA